rnacentral:tRNA from 1 species
GGGGAUUUGGCUCAGUGGUAGAGCACUUGCCUAGCAAGCACAAGGCCCUGGGUUCAGACCCCAGCUCCG